GACGAACGCUGGCGGCGUGCUUAACACAUGCAAGUCGAACGGAAACGCGCUGCUCUUGUUGGGUGCUCGAGUGGCGAACGGGUGUGUAACACGUGAGUAUCCUGCCCUUGACUUUGGGAUAACUUCAGGACCCUGGGGCUACUACCGGAUAGGAGCUCCUGCUGCAUGGUGGGGGUUGGACAGUUUCGGCGGUUGGGGAUGGACUCGCGGCUUAUCAGCUUGUUGGUGGGGUAGUGGCUUACCAAGGCUUUGACGGGUAGCCGGCCUGAGAGGGUGACCGGCCACAUUGGGACUGAGAUACGGCCCAGACGCCUACGGGGGGCAGCAGUGGGGAAUACUGCACAAUGGGCGGAAGCCUGAUGCAGCAACGCCGCGUGCGGGAUGACGGCCUUCGGGUUGUAAACCGCUUUCGCCUGUGACGAAGCGUGAGUGACGGUAAUGGGUAAAGAAGCACCGGCUAACUACGUG
rnacentral:rRNA from 1 species